AUUGAACGCUGGCGGCAGGCCUAACACAUGCAAGUCGAACGGUAACAGGAAGCAGCUUGCUGCUUUGCUGACGAGUGGCGGACGGGUGAGUAAUGUCUGGGAAACUGCCCGAUGGAGGGGGAUAACUACUGGAAACGGUAGCUAAUACCGCAUAACGUCGCAAGACCAAAGAGGGGGACCUUAGGGCCUCUUGCCAUCGGAUGUGCCCAGAUGGGAUUAGCUAGUAGGUGGGGUAACGGCUCACCUAGGCGACGAUCCCUAGCUGGUCUGAGAGGAUGGCCAGCCACACUGGAACUGAGACACGGUCCAGACUCCUACGGGAGGCAGCAGUGGGGAAUAUUGCACAAUGGGCGCAAGCCUGAUGCAGCCAUGCCGCGUGUAUGAAGAAGGCCUUCGGGUUGUAAAGUACUUUCAGCGGGGAGGAAGGGAGUAAAGUUAAUACCUUUGCUCAUUGACGUUACCCGCAGAAGAAGCACCGGCUAACUCCGUG
rnacentral:rRNA from 1 species